AGCUUUCUUUGCUUAAUCGGUAGAGCGUGAUACUUCUAAUAUCUUAGUCUAGGUUCAAGUCCUAGAGAGAGCUU
rnacentral:tRNA from 1 species